rnacentral:rRNA from 1 species
GACGAACGCUGGCGGCGUGCUUAACACAUGCAAGUCGAACGGAAAGGCCUGCUUUCCCUUGUGGAUUGCGGGUACUCGAGUGGCGAACGGGUGAGUAACACGUGAGUGAUCUGCCCCCAACUUGGGUAUAAGCCUGGGAAACUGGGUCUAAUUCCCGAUAGGACUGCAGGGUGGUGCCUGUGGUGGAAAACGAUUUUCUAGUGGCUGGGGAUGAGCUCGCGGCCUAUCAGCUUGUUGGUGGGGUAAUGGCCUACCAAGGCGGCGACGGGUAGCCGGCCUGAGAGGGUGGACGGCGACAUUGAGACUGAGAUACGGCCCAGACUCCUACGGGAGGCAGCAGUGGGGAAUAUUGGACAAUGGGCGGAAGCCUGAUGCAGCGACGCCGCGUGGGGGAUGACGGCCUUCGGGUUGUAAGCUCCUUUCGACCGCGAGGAAGCCACCUGGUUGGAAGGGUGGUGACGGUAGUGGUAGAAGAAGCACCGGCUAACUACGUG